AUUGAACGCUGGCGGCAGGCCUAACACAUGCAAGUCGAACGAGUGGCGGACGGGUGAGUAAUGUCAGGGAAACUGCCUGAUGGAGGGGGAUAACUACUGGAAACGGUAGCUAAUACCGCAUACCAUCGGAUGUGCCCAGAUGGGGUUAGCUAGUAGGUGUGGUAAAGGCUCACCUAGGCGACGAUCCCUAGCUGGUCUGAGAGGAUGACCAGGCACACUGGAACUGAUACACGGUCCAGACUCCUACGGAAGGAAGAAGUGGGGAAUAUUGCACAAUGGGCGCAAGCCUGAUGCAGCCAUGCCGCGUGUGUGAAGAAGGCCUUCGGGUUGUAAGGCACUUUCAGCGAGGAGGCGUUACUCGCAGAAGAAGCACCGGCUAACUCCGUGCCAGCCGCCGCGGUAAUAC
rnacentral:rRNA from 1 species